rnacentral:rRNA from 1 species
CAACGACGGGUAGCUGGUCUGAGAGGACGAUCAGCCACACUGGCACUGCGACACGGGCCAGACUCCUACGGGAGGCAGCAGUGAGGAAUAUUGCGCAAUGGGCGAAAGCCUGACGCAGCGACGCCGCGUGGGGGAUGAAGGUCUUCGGAUUGUAAACCCCUUUCGGGAGGGAAGAUGGGAUGGGAAACCGUUCGGACGGUACCUCCAGAAGAAGCCACGGCUAACUUCGUGCCAGCAGCCGCGGUAAUACGAAGGUGGCAAGCGUUGUUCGGAUUUACUGGGCGUACAGGGUGCGUAGGCGGUUCGGUAAGCCCUUCGGGAA